rnacentral:tmRNA from 1 species
GGGGGCGACUGGUUUCGACAUGGUAGGUUCAAACCAAGGAGCAGGUCGUGGUCUCCUCACCACGUUAAACAGGGGUGCCGUCAAAUUUAAUUGACAAGAAAUACACUUCUGAGCCUCUGGCUCUUGCUGCUUAAUUAUUUGAAGCAGCUCGUCAAUGCGGGGCAUUCUCCCGGCCGCGCUGCGACGUCAUUUUAGGGAGAUGCUUCCGGGCACGUAGUCGGUAUGGUCCGGAUUAAGCUUGAACCGGCUGGAUGCGUUUCCGCGGGCCGCUGUGCCUUCGCGCAUCAAGAUCAGAACAGCGGACAAGCCUGUAGCGUCUUGGCGGGAAUCUAGUAUGGACCGGAGUUCGAUUCUCCGCGCCUCCACCA